CCUUCGCCGGGCGGCGGGAGCUAGACGAGCACGCAGGGCACCCCUCGGGCUCCCGGGAGGCGGCCCUGGGCGUCCCCUUUCUGCCGCCGCCGCGGCCCCGGCUGCUUUCUGCGUAGCUGGGCAGGGCCCGGGCCCCCACAUCGCCUCUCUCGGGAAUGCGGGCGCUCUGGAGCCGGGGAGCCGGGGCGACCGCAGGGAGGGCAGCUCUCCGGGGUGGAGGUCCUCGGGCGCCGCGCCCUCGCCUGGAAACCAGCCGUCGCCCCCGCAGGAGUCAGCCGGCGUGGACGCCCCAGCACGCUCCUUCUUGGUGCUGCCGGUCGCCCUGCAAUUCCGAGAAGAAAGUCAGAGACGCCGUGGCCCACAGAGGCGCUUAGUUUUCCUCGCUCACACUCACGUUGCUUCCUCAUCGCGUUCUUCUUUUUCUCCCUGGGUGCUUUCUCUCCUCUCCAGGAAAGCGGAUUUGGAGGAACAGGUUUCGUGACUGUCAUCCAACUGGAAAAGGCCCCGCGAGCUGGAAGGGGGGGCGGGGGGGGGGACGGGUGCACCCUCAGAGUUAUUGCUGGAGGCUGUGGCCAGGCCGGGCAAUGUGGUGACUUCCGCUGGCAGGCUGAGGCCCACCCCAGCCCUCCCACCUGGGCCACGGGGCUCUCAGCGGGAGCCCCAGUUAUGACCGGACACCAGCGCACCGCCAAGGAGACAGCCACGUGGGGACAUGCCGGGCUAGCAGGGUCAGAGCCACUUUGAGGACUAGUGACCUCGGUUCCCUGGCUUAACCAGGUCCUUAUGGGUGAGAAUCCUGAAGAGGGGGAGAGGGAUGGAGGCGAGGGACAGUAGGCAGGAGGAGCUGAUGAAUAGGAAGGAGGAAGAAGAUGAAAUAAACAAGAAAGAAAGAAAUUACGUUCAGAGCGCUGCUCACCUUUUCCAUGUCUUCUGCACCUUCAUAGCCUUCAAAGGUGUCCAUGGAGCUAAACUCCCUGCUGGAGCAGCCUUGGGGAAAGAAAGGAAAGGAUGGGGCCUCUCUGGGGUGGGAGGACAGCCCCUCUGCCCAUGGCAGGGUGUAGCAGGCAGUGCCUGUUGCAGGCGGGGUCCUCCCCAUCUCUAACUCCUGCUCUCCCAGGGCCUGCACUCCGCUGGGCUGUGAAGGGAGUCUGAUUUUUUCAGGCUCUUUCCAGCGCUGAAAUGCCUUAAUUCACUGAGAAGAAGCGUCCACAUGCUUUUCAUGGCCCUACCUCCCUGUUCGUCCAAGAAAACAGUCGUCUUUUUUGCUUGCCUGUCUUCUAACCAUGCCUCCGUCCCUUCUUCCUCCCCUGUCUAUUUCCCACCCUCCUCCCCUUCUUGCCUCCUUUUCUUUCCCGUAAUUAAUGUCCAUUUCCCAUCUCCCUGGCAGCCUCUGCCAAGUGUCACUGCUCCCCAUAAGGGAAAAUAAGAGGAACAAGCAAGUGCAUCCAUCCCUGCCUCUCUCCGCAGUGAACUGAUAAACCCAUCAGUCUUGCCCGUGGUGCACCUGUUACAUCCCCGGGAGGUGUUGGACACUGUGGGGAACAGCAGCCACCGCCAAAUACUCAGCAACUGCCCUGUGCCUGGUGGGAUGGUAGGCGUUUGUCAAAGUUUAAGCCUCACAACCCUGUAAGGGUCUCAGCCCCCUUUACAGUUGGGGAAACAGACAGCAAUGGUCACUUGGCCAAGUCCUCUUGGCCUGUGGCAGGGCAGCUGGCUUCUCCAGCCCUGCUGCUCUUUACCCUCGCUCUGAGUGAGAUGCGGUUUCUGCGCCACACGGCUCACAAGCCAGGGUAGGGAGCCGAGCAUCUGCAUAAAGCUCCCAGCACAGGGCAGCCCCAGACUGAGGCUCGGCUGAGUAAUCCACGCGGCGGGAGCCGUGCUAGGAAAGUGUCUGCUCAGGCGAGAAUUCAGGGAGGUUUGGGCAGGCCUUGAGGGGCGGACAGGACUGGAGAGGGAGGGCCUUCUGGGCAGAGGCAUGGCGGGAGGGCUGUAGGCGGCAGUGGAGGGAGCUGCAGUUAUCUGGGUGAGCAGGCAGCGGACAAGUGACGUCUCCCGGCCUGCUGCCCCAGGCCCCCCACAAGCCGCGUUCUGGGGCCGUGGCCUCCCCAGAGCAGAUCAGUGGGGGCUGUGUGAGCAACACUGGGGGCAGCUGGGCAGCGCCUCCCUGGAGGCCCCUCUGAAAUCCCGCCGGAUGCUGGCAGGCUCCAAGGGGGCUGGACACCAUCUUCUCAGGGCCCUGCAGGGAAGCGUGGAAAGGCGGCACAGGGCUGGACCCAGAGGAGCUCUCAGAUGCUGGACUGGACUGUUUCAGGGGUCAUCUAGCCCAUUCCCCGCCUCCAGGCGAGGAUUUGCUUGAGCCUGGAAAGAUGAAGGAUCCUCCCAGUGCCGUCAAGCCCCGGAUUCCACCUCCCUGUAGGUGGACUGCCAGCGCAGGCCCUGACAACGCAGAGAAAGACACAGGACCCAGCUGGGCCAGUGACAGCAGGAGCUCCUGGUGCCACAGGAAUGGAAACUGUGACUCAUAAUAGCCAGCUAGUCAAUGAUUAUUCCCCCCAGUCCCUGGCGCAUCAAGAUUUGCUGGUAGGUGGUCAUAAGCAUCAUUUUUUUAUUUCUAAAGUGAAGACAAUGAUAUCUACUUUGGAGAUUUAGUGGAAGGAUUAGCAAAAUGUACAUCAAGAACAGUGUCUGGCCAAGGCAGGGUGUCUCACGCUUGUAAUCCCAGCACUUUGGGAGGCUGAGAUGGGUGGAUCACCUGAGGUUAGGAGUUCGAGACCAGCCUGGCCAACAUGGUGAAACCCUGUCUGCACUAAAAAAAAAUACAAAAAUUAGCUUGGCAUGG
rnacentral:lncRNA from 10 species